CGCGUAGGUGGUUUUGUAAGUCGGAUGUGAAAGCCCCGGGCUCAACCUGGGAAUUGCAUUCGAUACUGCAUGACUAGAGUAUGGUAGAGGGAAGUGGAAUUCCGGGUGUAGCGGUGAAAUGCGUAGAUAUCCGGAGGAACAUCAGUGGCGAAGGCGACUUCCUGGACCAAUACUGACACUGAGGUGCGAAAGCGGUGGGGAGCAAACA
rnacentral:rRNA from 1 species